GGCCGCAGCGAAAGAUCCCUGGCGACUGUUUAUCAAAAACACAGCUCCCUGCGAACUCGUAAGAGGAUGUAUAGGGGGUGACGCCUGACCAAUGCCAGAAGGUUAAGCACGGACGGUGUGAUGUUCUUCGGAAUGUCAUGCUUGGCUGUGUAAGCCCUGGUGAAUGUCGGCCGUAACUAUAAAUCGUUGUAGUUACGUUAAUAAAUCUUGCUAUAUGCGGGAAACUCUGACCGGAGUGUCAUACCUUAGUGAACUCUCCAAGGUAUCCGGUGCUACUCACCACAAAGUCGUAAGUGGAAGUAACAAUGUAUCGGUGCAGACAAUCCGCAGGAAAGAUUAUUGUGUGGUAAUUACGGAAAUAUGCGUGAUUACAAAUCAAUUAACCAGAACCAUGGUUACUACAUAGCUGGUUUCGUUGACGGAGAGGGUAGUUUCAAUGUCUCUCUCACAAAACGAAAAGAUUAUGUAGGAAAAUGGAAGAUAACUGCGUCGUUUAAUGUGUCACAAAAAGAUCGCACCAUACUUGCUUUUGUUAAAAAAGUGAUUGGGUGCGGGACACUUAGAGAGCGCAAAGAUGGUGUAGUGUACUAUGAAGUCACAAACAUCAGAUCCCUAUACGAAAACAUACUCCCGUUUUUCAGGAAAUUCUGUUUUCUGUCAGAAAAUAAGAAACGCAACUUUGCUAUCUUUUCAAAGAUAGUAAGAAAGAUGUAUAAAAAAGAACAUCUUAACAAAGAAGGAUUUGAAGAAAUUCUUCAACUGCGCGAGAAGCUCAAUCAAGGGGUUGGGCGUACGCGCAAAUACACAUUAAAGAGUGUAAAACACACACAAUAAAAUCCUCACAGACUAUACGCAGGACACGCGCUAGAACAACACUGUCGACUUUCUAGCAUUCGUGAAGAUAUAGUCGGGCCCUUAUGGCGACAUAAGGUUGGCAAAACGCUUAAUUGUUUGCCAUAUAAAACAUAAGCAAACGGUCCUAAGGUACACUUCACGACAUUUGUCGUUGGGUGUAGGACUAGGACCGUUAUAUAGAUAAACAGAGACGCAAGUUACCUUCCAUAUAGAAAUAUAUGUGUAGUCCAAAUCACGAUUAACAAGAGACCAACGUCGUGGCCCUCCCUCCUUGAUAUAAAGGAGAAGGGAUAAGAUAGAGUCCAUGGAGUGUUAGUAGGAAUACAUGAGCGAAAUUCCUUGUCUGGUAAUUUCAGACGUGCACGAAUGGCGUAACGACUGGGGAACUGUCUCGAGGACUUGCUCGGUGAAAAUGCGAUGCCGGUGAAGAUGCCGGCUACCUACAGUGGGACGAAAAGACCCCGGGAGCUUUACUACAACUUGAUAUUGGGUAUGUGAGUGAGCUGCGUAGCAUAGGAGGGAGACUUUGAAGCACUUUUUUCGGAAGGUGUGGAGUCGUCAGUGAAAUACCUCUCUGUUUAUUUGCAUGCUCUAACUUGUACGGAAAAAACGGACAGGAACAGUAUCUGGUGGGUAGUUUGAGUGGGGCGCUCUCCUCCUAAAGAGUAACGGAGGAGUCUAUUAAGGUUCUCUAGGCGCGAAUGGAAACCGUGCCGAUAGUGUAAUGGCAAAAGAGAGCUUGACUGCGAGACGGACAUGUCGAGCAGGUGCGAAAGCAGAGCAUAGUGAACCGAUGGUUCAUAUUAGAUGUGGCCAAAGAUUAACGGAUAGAAGUUACCCCGGGGAUAACAGGCUGGUACCGCCUAAGCGUCCAUAGCGACGGCGGUGUUCGGCACCUCGAUGUCGGCUCACCUUAUCCUGGUGGCGUAGAAGCUGCCAAGGGUUUGGCUGUUCGCCAAUUAAAAAGGUACGCGAGCUGGGUUCAGACCGUCGUGAGACAGGUUGGUCUUAAUCUACUGUAGGCGUUGAUUCUUGAGGAGAUCUGCUCCUAGUACGAGAGGACCGGAGUGGACUGACCUCUGGUGUACGAGCUGUCGUGCCAACGGCACAGCUCGGUAGCUAAGUCGGGAAUGGAUAACUGCUGAAUGCAUAUAAGCGGGAAGCCAACUCCAAGAUCAGGAAUCGUUUGAGAUCCCUAGGAGAUUACUAGGUGAUAGGCACUAGGUGUACGCACAGUAAUGUGUUUAGCCGAGGUGUACUAAUUAAUCGA
rnacentral:rRNA from 1 species